UUAGUAAGACAUUUAUUAGCAUAAUAAGCCUAAUAAGGUUCAUAAACAUCUACAGUGUGACCAUUGUCUACAGAGGCCAUAUUAAUAAACUGAUUACAAGCUUAACAAAUAUAUUAACUAUCUUUUUGACAUUAUAUUGAGUGUUUUUUAGCACUGAGUAAGACAUCUGAAAAUCCUUAUAAAUAUACAAUGAAGGCUUAUAAGGAAGACCAACCCCAUACCAUGGUUUUAACACCACUGUGUUUCACUAUAGGAAGUUUGUAUCCAUUCAGUUUACUAAAAGACAUUUUCUUUUUUUUUUUUAACCUUAAAACCACAAUUUCUCUCAGCUGUAUUUUUUUAAAUAAUUAUUUUAGGAACAUCCUUCUGCCUUGUUUGUGACGGCAAUAAUCUCGUCUUCUAACAUUCUGGACGCUUCCUAAAAAUAUACGGUGAAGCAGUCGUUUGAAGGCCGCAUCAUAGUGGAAUUUGGAUUGCACUUUGCGGAUCUGUUUAGAUAAAAUACAAUAGUUUCACAAAGUUCAAAGUAGAUUCAAUAUGUCGUCUAUUUCUUGUCAUUUUGAUGAUUAUAGUUAACAGGAAAUAGAAGCUUUAAAUUCUCAGAAAGUUGUGAGAAAUGUGGAUGUUUGUAACUUCUGAAAACCUUUAAAUAUUCUUCUUUCAUUAGAUGAUGUAAUCAUGGGAAAGACUUUGCAAAAAGGAUAAGUCUUUGUUAUGGAAGCUGGUUAUUCAAGAACUGGAUCCAAGAAUGGGAUACAUUUCAGUGAUGAUUUGAGCGGCCAUUUCUGACAGGAAGUUGAAGAUUCCAGUUUUCCUUUGUUCACAUUGCCUAAGGUGACCAUGUUUUUCCUGUAUUUGACAAUUCAGCAAAACCCUCUGAUCAGAACCAGAUAGAAAAUCUGUGGCCUCAUGUCAAGAAAAAGAUGAGAAACACCGAACUCAACAAUGCAGAUGACCUAAAGCCAAGAAAGUUCUCCACCACCUCCUGGGCCUGGCCCAUCUUCUCCAGGCCGGUCUGAUCCAGCGCCUCCUCCAGCAGCUCCUGCAGGCGCUCCAUCGACUCCUGCAGCUCCCUCACCACCGCCUCCGUCUCGCUGUGGACCCGGUUUGCAGAAUUCUGCAGAAAACACAGAUCCCCUCCAAAUUAGGAAAAGUUCUGUGACAGUCCGAGGUAGAAACUAUCCGUGAGGACCAACCUUCGCCACCUCCAUGACCUUCUUCAGCUCCUUCAGCUCCUGCUCUCUGUCCUUCAGCCGCUGCUGAUUAUCCGCCUGGAUUUCUGACAGCACUUUCUGCAAGAGACAAAUCAAACCGGACAUCAGGAGAGGGAGGAGCCUCCUUCAGGAAUGUCGUAAGGAAUGUCUUCAAACUGCCUCUAACCCUCAUCGUAGACAAAAGAGGAAAAAACGACAACGUGGAAGAGAAAAUCGUUAGACAAAAGAGGGCGGAUCAGCCGGAUCGUCCUGUACAGUUUCCAGCCGGGGCUUUUAUUCUGACAGUUUGGGUGUAAUAGUUUUAUUUUGAAAUAUUUCCACUGUUAAUUUCCAAAUAUAUGUAAAAAUUAAAUAUAUUCUUCAAUUUUCUUUCUGUUAAAUGAAGCAAAAUCCAGAUUUAAUGGUAAGUUACAUUAAAAUAAACCAAAUAAUUUAAACAUUCAAUCUCAAUUUCUCAAUAAUCUGAUUAUUGUGGGUCUUUUUAGGUCAAAAUUGAAGAACAAAAAAAAAAAAAAAAAAA